rnacentral:rRNA from 1 species
UACGGAAGGCAGCAGUGGGGAAUAUUGCACAAUGGGCGAAAGCCUGAUGCAGCUAUGCCGCGUGUAUGAAGAAGGCCUUAGGGUUGUAAAGUACUUUCAUCGGGGAGGAAAAACAAAACUAAUAAUUUUAUUUCUUGACGUUACCCGAAAAAGAAGCACCGGCUAACUCCGUGCCAGCAGCCGCGGUAAUACGGAGGGUGCUAGCGUUAAUCAGAAUUACUGGGCGUAAAGAGCACGUAGGUGGUUUUUUUAAGUCAGAUGUGAAAUCCCUGGGCUUAACCUGGAAACUGCAUUUUGAAACUGAAAUACUAGAGUAUCGUAGAGGGAGGUAGAAUUCUAGGUGUAGCGGUGAAAUGCGUAGAUAUCUGGAGGAAUACCUGUGGCGAAAGCGGCCUCCUAAACGAAUACUGACACUGAGGUGCGAAAAGCGUGGGGAGCAAAACAGGGAUUAGAUACC